CCGAUCAUGAACACCGUGUGUUAUGCUAUUUGUGGAUGUAUGCCGUACGUGUAUGUCUGGGUGUCUACCAACCUGGGAAAGUUGGGGAAUUGGGGCCUUGCUGGAAAACUGUAGGAACUUUGGUAAAACCUGGCUAAUUCAUGGAAACUGGCGGCAGUCUGUGCCACCAUCACAAAAAUAAGCAUUACCCUUGAUCAAUACUCAAAAA